rnacentral:rRNA from 1 species
UGGGGGAUAUUGCACAAUGGGCGCAAGCCUGAUGCAGCGACGCCGCGUGGGGGAUGAAGGCCUUCGGGUUGUAAACUUCUUUUGCUCUGAACAAGGCGCACUUUGGGGUGUGUUGAGUGUAGGGGUUGAUUAGCGCCGGCUAACUACGUGCCAGCAGCCGCGGUAAUACGUAGGGCGCGAGCGUUGUCUGGAAUUAUUGGGCGUAAAGGGCUUGUAGGUGGCUGGUUGCGUCUGUCGUGAAAGCUCAUGGCUUAACUGUGGGUUUGCGGUGGGUACGGGCUGGCUUGAGUGCAGUAGGGGAGGCUGGAAUUCCUGGUGUAGCGGUGGAAUGCGCAGAUAUCAGGAGGAAUACCGGUGGCGAAGGCGGGUCUCUGGGCUGUUACUGACACUGAGGAGCGAAAGCAUGGGGAGCGAACAGG